GUGGGUGUAGCUCAGAUUGGUUAGAGUCCCAGAUUGUGAUUCUGGUUGUCGUCGGUUCGAGUCCGAUUACCCACC
rfam:Fibrobacter sp. TWOS genome assembly, contig: Ga0136287_116